rnacentral:lncRNA from 1 species
GCAUUUCCAACACAAACCUCUGCGGAUCCCAUCAGCUGUUUUUUACUUUUCUCUUUGUAGCAGUCUUAUCUUAACUACUUUCCCUUCUAGGUUGAUCUACAUGUAUAAACAAGGUUCCUUAGAUUUGCAGUAGUUCAUUUCUCAUACGGUGCAGGUAAUUGGAUUAAUCCACAUUGGUGCUGUUGAGGUCUUGUAGGCGUAUUUUGCACAUCUUCUGUUUGAACAAAAGACGCACGCAUAUAAUCCCUAGCUUUCUUCUUUUGAGGGGGGCUUUGGUUCUUUAUCUACUUUUUUGUUUCCAUUCAAUGUAGAGAUAAAUGUAUUGUCAUUUAUCGUUUACAAUAAGGACAGCAAUUAGCUUCAACCUGAAAGACUGCAAAAAUUGUCAACUUCUUGUACUUAUCAUCGGGAAACUAAGCUGUUCAUUUUACAGCCAAAUGAAAAUUUUAUUUUUGCCUUCUAUAUAUAUAUAUGUAUAUCUUUUCUGCCUCUUGAGAGCGAUCAGCAUUGUUAGUUUGGGAAGUCAUAUUCAGGAACUUGAGUAAGACUUCUUUGCAGGAUUAUGCAGAUAACCUGGACCAUGAGGUAACAAAGAAUGACUAACGUUAUGCUUCUUUUUCUCUUCGAUUUUCUGUUUUGUCCUGUCACUCCCUUCCACCCACCUCCUGAACUUGUCAAUGAACUUUUGCUGUGUGGAACGAGGAUGGGCAUGACCAGUCGCGGGCAAGUUUAAGCAAGAAUCUCCGUGAUCCCAACUGGAAUGAUCAUGUUCAUUUUCCCAUCCAAAAUUAGAAAUUUCUCCAAAAUUCAACUCUCUCUGGUCCUUCCUUUGCUGUAAGUCUUCUUGUUCCAGGUUCUUCCUCAGUAGCUCAUGCCUUAGACAUGCAUUGCACCACCUUAGGUAUAUCAACUCUUUAAUUGCUGCUGCGUGUUCCUUCUCAAGCUGUUCCGGAUUAGCUGCUACUCGUCCGUAAUCUACCAUUGUUGCCUCGUCUGCAUCAAUCUACGAAGGAGAGACUGUCUUGUGAACCUCAAGCAAUUAAUCUUUGAACAACAGGGGAUGCAUUUAUUACAUACUAAAGAGAGAACAUUAACACUUUUUUUUCCCCAUCUAUAAGCCUACAUGAUUCCAUCCAUAAUACUUUUAUAUCCAUCGCAUUUUUGUAAAACAACAGAUAGAUAUGCUUUAUACGGGAAUAUGAAGUUGUGGCAAGUUGAAGAAUGUCAACCUUUGAUGAAGCUGCUGUAUUUGCCAGCUCCAUCUGUCUCGAUAGUUCAUCUUUCUCCAUUUGCAGUUGUCCAAAAGCCAAUUUUAGUUCCUUGAUCUCAUUCUCCCUUCUUCUGAUGAUAUUAGCCUUUGCCUCUAGCUCUUGAUGAUUUCUAAAAAUUUCUGCCUCUUUAGCUUCUAUCUGCAUAUGCUGCUGCUUUAUGACUCGAGAAUGUUCUUUUGUUCUCCUCAACAGCUUCUUAACCUUCCUCUGAAGCAAUCUGUUUCUUGAUCUGGAAAUUUCAAGCAGCUCCAACAUUUUCAGAUAUUCAACUACCACACUUUCGAAACUCUUCCUAUCUGCUUCCACUGAUGAGAUUUCCUCAGCCAAGAGCUCAACCCUUGUUAUCUCCAACAAUAAUUUGUUCUGAAGCUCCAUAAGCAGCAGUUCUUGCUCUUUCAUGUCAUGAUACCGAAGAUACUGUACCUCCAGCUCAAAUUCUCUCACAUGAACAUCUUUUAUUUGAUUUCUUAAGACCAAAACUUCUUCUUCUAAUUCAAAUAUAUGUUGAUGUUGCAGUUCUUCUUCAGAGUUCCGGUUAGAGGUAUCUGUAAUAGAAUGAUAGGCGUCCAAGCUGGAUAAAGAGGAUGAAUUGAUAGAUUGAACAUCAGGG